AGUCUUGUAACCUACCGGAUUCUUUUGAGGGGGCGGGAUUUAACGGAACGAGAAACAGAUUGAGAGUGUACUGUAAUUUGAGAAACGCUAAGAGUUGGUUUUAAAUUCAGUACAUCGGUUAAAUUACUGUUCUUUAAAGUUAAAACCAGGGGAAUAUAUGUCAGCGUGUGACCCUGCUGAAACGGUAGAGUAAACUGUGUUUUGUAGCUGUUUUAAUCGGUAACGGUAAUGAAGUGGAGCUAACGCCAUAGCCACGUAUGGACUGUUGCUAAUAAGCUCAGCUAGCCAUUUAACUAUCACCCUUAGGAGCUGGGAGAAGAAACUGUGCGUGCCGAAAUCCACCAUGCUUGCCACCAAGUUUUUUUUUGUACAUCGGAUGCUGCCACACGUGAUGCUGCAGUAGAGGUGCUUAGGACUUGCCGCCGCUGCAUGGCAGAAGAGCCUGAGGUUCGGUUUGCACACAAAGAGACUCAGGACAGGUGUCUUCAUCGUACAGCUUCCCGCUGGACAGAGGGUUUGAAAAGACUGCUACUAACAGCUUUCUGAGUUACCAAGGAACAGUGAGUACACAUAGUAUUCUCCUUGAGGAUUUCAAAUGAGCUCCAACAAGCGCGCCAACGUUGUGGUAACGUUGCCACAAACUGAGUAUUAAAAACCCCAGGUGUAUUUUGUUGAUGGCCAUACGGACAUUUUAAAGGGUUAAAUUGCCCGAUUCUGGAAUAAACAUGUUAUUGUAUGAAAUUCAA